GGGGCUGUAGCUCAGUGGUAGAGCGCUUGCCUUGCAUGCAUGAGACUCUGGGAGCCAUUGUCUCCUAGGUAACUCCU
rnacentral:tRNA from 1 species